rnacentral:rRNA from 1 species
GAACCASUAUGACAUGAUACGCAGCUGUACCGAGCUCGAUCACUAGUACUGCGCAGUGUGCUGAUCGCAUAGAGUUGAUCUGCUCAGACGACGCUGCGCGUGCUACACAUGCAAGUCGAACGUGAUCCAGAGCUGCUCUGGUGAAAGUGCGCACGGUGAGUAACGCGUGGAUAACUACUGUAUCCGGAUAACAUCCGAAAGGGUGCUAAUACUGGAUAAGCCCACGGGCUCUUUGGAGCGUGCGGAAAAGGUGGCCUCUAUUUAUAAGCUACUGUAUCAGGAUGGGUCCGCGUACCAUUAGCUAGUUGGUAGGGUAAAGGCCUACCAAGGCGACGAUGGUUAGCUGGUCUGAGAGGAUGAUCAGCCACACUGGAACUGAGACACGGUCCAGACUCCUACGGGAGGCAGCAGUGGGGAAUUUUGCGCAAUGGGGGAAACCCUGACGCAGCAACGCCGCGUGAGUGAUGAAGGCCCUUGGGUCGUAAAGCUCUGACAGAGGGAAAGAAGUGCAGGGGAGCUAAUACCUCCUUUGCUUGACGGUACCCUCAAAGGAAGCACCGGCUAACUCCGUGCCAGCAGCCGCGGUAAUACAAGGGCGMMYUCUGCGAGAUAUCCUAUCUACACUGGCGGCGGSGUGG